GACGAACGCUGGCGGCGUGCCUAAUACAUGCAAGUUGAGCGAUGAAGAUUGGUGCUUGCACCAAUUUGAAGAGCAGCGAACGGGUGAGUAACGCGUGGGGAAUCUGCCUUUGAGCGGGGGACAACAUUUGGAAACGAAUGCUAAUACCGCAUAACAACUUUAAACAUAAGUUUUAAGUUUGAAAGAUGCAAUUGCAUCACUCAAAGAUGAUCCCGCGUUGUAUUAGCUAGUUGGUGAGGUAAAGGCUCACCAAGGCGAUGAUACAUAGCCGACCUGAGAGGGUGAUCGGCCGCAUUGGGACUGGGACACGGCCCAAACUCCUACGGGAGGCAGCAGUAGGGAAUCUUCGGCAAUGGACGAAAGUCUGACCGAGCAACGCCGCGUGAGUGAAGAAGGUUUUCGGAUCGUAAAACUCUGUUGGUAGAGAAGAACGUUGGUGAGAGUGGAAAGCUCAUCAAGUGACGGUAACUACCCAGAAAGGGACGGCUAACUACGUG
rnacentral:rRNA from 1 species